rnacentral:misc_RNA from 1 species
GAUGAAGAACGUAGCGAAAUGCGAUAAGUAAUGUGAAUUGCAGAAUUCAGUGAAUCAUCGAAUCUUUGAACGCACAUUGCGCCCGCCAGCAUUCUGGCGGGCAUGCCUGUUCGAGCGUCAUUUCAACCCUCGAGCCCCCCCGGGGGCCUCGGUGUUGGGGGACGGCACACCAGCCGCCCCCGAAAUGCAGUGGCGACCUCGCCGCAGCCUCCCCUGCGUAGUAGCACACACCUCGCACCGGAGCGCGGAGACGGUCACGCCGUAAAACGCCCAACUUCUUAGAGUUGACCUCGGAUCAGGUAGGAAUACCCGCUGAACUUAAGCAUAUCAAAAGCGGAGGA